rnacentral:rRNA from 13 species
GCCAACGCCCUGGCCGCGCUGAGUUCCCGUCAGAUCACGAAAGUUAAGCAGCGCUGGGCACGGAUAGUACUUGGACGGGUGAUCGCCUGGGACUCCGUGUGGCGUUGGCG